UAUUGGCUAAUGAUGUACAACCCACGGUCCACAAAGAUAUAGGGUCUAUAUUUCUUCAUAUCGUUUCACUUGAAGACAUGAUUGAGGAAAAGAAUAUAUAUCAUUUUGGAGGGCAGCAAACUCGUACUCCAUUCACUGUGGAAAAUAACGAGACUUUAUCCAAAGUAUUAAUCACAACACAGAAACAAAAAUGGGGAGGACGACGUAGAGGUUAUACCCAUGUUGAUUUUAUCCGGGUGAUAGCAAAUUGGAGGAUUCUUCUAUGUAAAGUAAGAUGAAAGAAGAGGAGUUCAUAGAAACAAGGCUUAGCAUCAGCAUUAAGAUGAGUUCGUUUUGGGUUUAUAUUGGCGACUUAAGGUACAGAUACUCGAUUUUGCGAUCCUCCAGCUUAGGACUUCUACUCAGCUGUCUUGGAGAGCUCCAUUGUUUCGGAGCCUAGACUUUUGGUACAGAUCCUUUUGAUGUAUAUAUAUGUUUACCCAAGGGUACGGCCAGGCCCUGUCCCGUCAUAUUUCACUAUCGAUACUCUUAGAGGUCUGUAGACAUAUGUGUGGGUUGUGUAUAAGUUUGUUCAGCUGUGUCUAUACGAUGUGCUAUGGAUAUGUUCGUCUGUAAUGGCAGCCUUGUCGGCUUGCGUAUGGCAUUGAUCUGUAAUGGCAGCCUUGUCGGCUUGUGUAUGGUAUUGAUAUGUAGUGGCAGCCUUGUUGGCUUGCGUAUCAUAUUAUGUUUGCUUA